UUUAAUUGAUGACUUGUAUGAAAGAUUUGAUGAAAUAUGAACUGUCUCUUAUUUAAUUAUAAAAUUUAAUUUUUUUAUUAAAAAGUUAAAAUAUUUUAAAAAGACGAGAAGACCCUAUAGAGUUUAAUAAAUUAUUAAAUUAAGAUUAUAUGUAAAAUAAAUUUGAAAUUAAAUUAUUUAUUUUGUUGGGGUGACAAAAAAAUAUAUAAAACUUUUUUUUACAUAAAAACAUUUAUAAGUGAUUAUAUGAUUCAGUAAUAUUGAUUAUAAGAAAAAAUUACCUUAGGGAUAACAGCGUAAUUUUUUUUUUUAGUACAAAUAAGAAAAAGAGUUUGCGACCUCGAUGUUGGAUUA
rnacentral:rRNA from 1 species